rnacentral:rRNA from 1 species
AACGAACGCUGGCGGCAGGCUUAACACAUGCAAGUCGAGCGCCCCGCAAGGGGAGCGGCAGACGGGUGAGUAACGCGUGGGAAUCUACCCAUCUCUACGGAAUAACGCAUGGAAACGUGUGCUAAUACCGUAUACGUCCUUCGGGAGAAAGAUUUAUCGGAGAUGGAUGAGCCCGCGUUGGAUUAGCUAGUUGGUGGGGUAAAGGCCUACCAAGGCGACGAUCCAUAGCUGGUCUGAGAGGAUGAUCAGCCACACUGGGACUGAGACACGGCCCAGACUCCUACGGGAGGCAGCAGUGGGGAAUAUUGGACAAUGGGCGCAAGCCUGAUCCAGCCAUGCCGCGUGAGUGAUGAAGGCCCUAGGGCUGUAAAGCUCUUUCACCGGUGAAGAUAAUGACGGUAACCGGAGAAGAAGCUCCGGCUAACUUCGUGCCAGCAGCCGCAGUAAAAC